GAGGCCUGCCUGCCCAGUGACAAACGUUCAACGGCCGCGGUAUCCUGACCGUGCAAAGGUAGCAUAAUCACUUGUUCCUUAAUUGGGGACUGGAAUGAAUGGCCUCACGAGGAUUCAACUGUCUCUUACCUCUAAUCAGUGAAAUUGACCUCCCCGUGAAGAGGCGGGGAUACAACAACAAGACGAGAAGACCCUAUGGAGCUUUAAUUUUCUGUCUUAACUACUAAAUAACUAACCCUACUGGGAUAAAAAAAAAGAGAAAUAAGUCAGUAAUUUCGGUGGGGGGGACCUCGGAAAAUAAAACAACCUCCAAAGGAUUUUAACCAAAACAAACAAGUCAAAGUAUUAAAAAUCAAAUUGACCCAUUUCAUUUGAUCAACGGACCAAGUUACCCUAGGGAUAACAGCGCAAUCCUAUUCAAAAGUCCAUAUCGACAAUUAGGGUUUACAACCUCGAUGUUGGAUCAGGACAUCCCAAGGGGGCAGCAGCUAUUAAGGGUUCGUUUGUUCAACAAUUAAAGCCCUACGUGAUCUG
rnacentral:rRNA from 1 species